rnacentral:rRNA from 1 species
UACGUAGGGUGCAAGCGUUUGUCCGGAAUUAUUGGGCGUAAAGAGCUCGUAGGCGGUCUGUCACGUCGGCUGUGAAAACCCGAGGCUCAACCUCGGGCCUGCAGUCGAUACGGGCAAACUAGAGUACUGCAGGGGAGACUGGAAUUCCUGGUGUAGCGGUGAAAUGCGCAGAUAUCAGGAGGAACACCGGUGGCGAAGGCGGGUCUCUGGGCCGAUACUGACGCUGGAGGAGCGAAAGCCGUGGGGAGCAAACAGG